AACUGAAACUCACUGCGGGACAAGAACGGGAGAGUUGGGUUUAGGAAAAGAUGGAGGGUGGGGUUCUAAAAUGAACGUUUCAGUGACAAGCGGGACACAAACCCUGGUCUCCAUCUCCGUGAAAGUCCUGUGUUGUUUGACCCAUCCAACCCCCCAACCUACCUCCCGAUGCGGAAUUUCGGGCUUUCAUACCACUUGCUACCGUUGUCGCUCUUAAUACUAUGUCAUCUUCACGCGCCGCGGAGCUGCUGCUCUGCCCGUGCGUCCCGUACAGACGCUGAGGGGUGCGUAUUGCUUACUGAGAGACACUGACCAAGCGUCCGUAUUUUACGAGUUGGGAGUGAGAACGGGUUGAGAUAACACACUGAGGUAGCUUGCUGUCUACGUUGCAUGGGCUUACAAAUAACUAUCAGAGACAACACAGGUAUCUGUAGAGCGGUAACCACAUAUGUACACAUGUUGUGCAGU